rnacentral:rRNA from 1 species
AGUGAACGCUGGCGGUAGGCCUAACACAUGCAAGUCGAACGGCAGCACAGUAAGAGCUUGCUCUUACGGGUGGCGAGUGGCGGACGGGUGAGGAAUACAUCGGAAUCUACUUUUUCGUGGGGGAUAACGGAGGGAAACUUACGCUAAUACCGCAUACGACCUACGGGUGAAAGCAGGGGAUCUUCGGACCUUGCGCGAUUGAAUGAGCCGAUGUCGGAUUAGCUAGUUGGCGGGGUAAAGGCCCACCAAGGCGACGAUCCGUAGCUGGUCUGAGAGGAUGAUCAGCCACACUGGAACUGAGACACGGUCCAGACUCCUACGGGAGGCAGCAGUGGGGAAUAUUGGACAAUGGGCGCAAGCCUGACCCAGCCAUACCGCGUGGGUGAAGAAGGCCUUCGGGUUGUAAAGCCCUUUUGUUGGGAAAGAACAGCAGCAGGUUAAUACCCCGCUGUUCUGACGGUACCCAAAGAAUAAGCACCGGCUAACUUCGUG